GACAGAGGUGCCAAGCGUUAGGCGGAAUCACUGGGCUUAAAGCGUGUGUAGGCGGACUUCUAAGUACCUUGUGAAAUCCCACGGCUUAACCGUGGAACUGCUCGGUAUACUGGUUGUCUUGAGCCACUUAGGGGCUACCGGAACAAAUGGUGGAGCGGUGAAAUGCGUAGAUAUCAGGAGGAACACCGGUGGCGAAGGCGGUUCUCUGGGCAUUACCUGACGCUGAGGAGCGAAAGUGUGGGGAGCGAACAGG
rnacentral:rRNA from 1 species